GCCUGGGUGGCUCAGUGGUUGAGCAUCUGCCUUUGGCUCAGUUGUGAUCCCGGGGUCCUGGGAUCAAGUCCCACAUCGGGCU
rnacentral:tRNA from 1 species